CCUACGGGUGGCAGCAGUGAGGAAUAUUGGUCAAUGGGCGGGAGCCUGAACCAGCCAAGUCGCGUGAGGGAUGACUGUCCUAUGGGUUGUAAACCUCUUUUGUCGGGGAACAAAGGGUCCCACGGGUGGGCGUAUGUAUGUACCCGAUGAAAAAGCAUCGGCUAACUCCGUGCCAGCAGCCGCGGUAAUACGGAGGAUGCGAGCGUUAUCCGGAUUUAUUGGGUUUAAAGGGUGCGUAGGCGGACAGUUAAGUCAGCGGUAAAAUUGAGGUGCUAAACCCCAUACAGCCGUUGAAACUGGCAGUCUUGAGUAGACGAGAGGUAUGCGGAAUGCGUGGUGUAGCGGUGAAAUGCAUAGAUAUCACGAAGAACUCCGAUUGCGAAGGCAGCAUAUCGGAGCGCGACUGACACUGAGGCUCGAAAGUGUGGGUAUCAAACAGGAUUAGAUACCCGAGUAGUC
rnacentral:rRNA from 1 species